rnacentral:rRNA from 1 species
GGCAUGCUUAAACAUGCAAGUCGAACGGUAACAGGCGGGAGCUUGCUCCUGCGCUGACGAGUGGCGGACGGGUGAGUAAUGCUUAGGAAUCUGCCCAGUAGCGGGGGACAACCCGGAGAAAUCCGGGCUAAUACCGCAUACGCCCUACGGGGGAAAGCAGGGGAUCUUCGGACCUUGCACUAUUGGAUGAGCCUAAGUCGGAUUAGCUUGUUGGUAGGGUAACGGCCUACCAAGGCGACGAUCCGUAGCUGGUCUGAGAGGAUGAUCAGCCACACUGGGACUGAGACACGGCCCAGACUCCUACGGGAGGCAGCAGUGGGGAAUAUUGGACAAUGGGGGCAACCCUGAUCCAGCAAUGCCGCGUGUGUGAAGAAGGCCUGCGGGUUGUAAAGCACUUUCAGUAGGGAAGAAAACUUGGGGGCUAAUAUCUCUCAAGCUUGACGUUACCUACAGAAGAAGCACCGGCUAACUCCGUGCCAGCAGCCGCGGUAAUACGGAGGGUGCGAGCGUUAAUCGGAAUUACUGGGCGUAAAGCGCGCGUAGGUGGCUUGGUAAGUCGGUUGUGAAAGC